CAUUCUGCCUAAAUACCCUAAAGACACCAGAUCCCAUCUGAUCUUGGAAGAUAAGUAGGGUCAGCCACAGUUAGUGCCUGGAAAGGAGAUUGACAAAUAAUACUAAGCAUUGUAAUUU
rnacentral:rRNA from 1 species